GUCCUGACCGUAAACGAUGGAUACUAGGUGUUGGAGGUAUCGACCCCUCCAGUGCCGCAGCUAACGCAUUAAGUAUCCCGCCUGGGGAGUACGGCCGCAAGGUUGAAACUCAAAGGAAUUGACGGGGCCCGCACAAGCGGUGGAGUAUGUGGUUUAAUUCGACGCAACGCGAAGAACCUUACCGGGGCUUGACAUGCACUUGACCGCGGUAGAGAUAUCGUUUUCCUCGCAAGAGGACAGGUCCACAGGUGGUGCAUGGCUGUCGU
rnacentral:rRNA from 1 species